rnacentral:rRNA from 1 species
GAUGAACGCUGGCGGCGUGCCUAAUACAUGCAAGUCGAGCGAACAGACGAGGAGCUUGCUCCUCUGACGUUAGCGGCGGACGGGUGAGUAACACGUGGAUAACCUACCUAUAAGACUGGGAUAACUUCGGGAAACCGGAGCUAAUACCGGAUAAUAUAUCGAACCGCAUGGUUCAAUAGUGAAAGACGGUUUUGCUGUCACUUAUAGAUGGAUCCGCGCCGCAUUAGCUAGUUGGUAAGGUAACGGCUUACCAAGGCAACGAUGCGUAGCCGACCUGAGAGGGUGAUCGGCCACACUGGAACUGAGACACGGUCCAGACUCCUACGGGAGGCAGCAGUAGGGAAUCUUCCGCAAUGGGCGAAAGCCUGACGGAGCAACGCCGCGUGAGUAAUGAAGGUCUUCGGAUCGUAAAACUCUGUUAUUAGGGAAGAACAAAUGUGUAAGUAACUAUGCACGUCUUGACGGUACCUAAUCAGAAAGCCACGGCUAACUACGUG